rnacentral:rRNA from 1 species
CACGUAGGGCGCGAGCGUUGUCCGGAAUUAUUGGGCGUAAAGAGCUCGUAGGCGGCCUGUUGCGUCCGCUGUGAAAGCCCGGGGCUUAACCCCGGGUCGGCAGUGGAUACGGGCAGGCUAGAGGUAGGUAGGGGAGAAUGGAAUUCCCGGUGUAGCGGUGAAAUGCGUAGAUAUCAAGUGGAACACCAGUGGCGAAGGCGAGUCUCUGGACAUUUCCUGACGCUGAGGCACGAAAGCCAGGGGGAGCAAACGGG